GUGUGCAACCUGCCUUUAUCUGAGGGAUAGCCUUUCGAAAGGGAGAUUAAUACCUCAUAAUAUACUGAUUGGCAUCAAUUGGUAUUGAAAGCUCCGGCGGAUAGAGAUGGGCACGCGCAAGAUUAGAUAGUUGGUGAGGUAACGGCUCACCAAGUCAAUGAUCUUUAGGGGGCCUGAGAGGGUGAUCCCCCACACUGGUACUGAGACACGGACCAGACUCCUACGGGAGGCAGCAGUGAGGAAUAUUGGACAAUGGGUGCAAGCCUGAUCCAGCCAUCCCGCGUGAAGGACGACGGCCCUAUGGGUUGUAAACUUCUUUUGUACAGGGAUAAACCUACCCUCGUGAGGGUAGCUGAAGGUACUGUACGAAUAAGCACCGGCUAACUCCGUGCCAGCAGCCGCGGUAAUACGGAGGGUGCAAGCGUUAUCCGGAUUUAUUGGGUUUAAAGGGUCCGCAGGCGGGCUAGUAAGUCAGUGGUGAAAGCCUACAGCUUAACUGUAGAACUGCCGUUGAUACUGCUAGUCUUGAGUAUAGUUGAGGUAGCUGGAAUGAGUAGUGUAGCGGUGAAAUGCAUAGAUAUUACUCAGAACACCGAUUGCGAAGGCAGGUUACCAAGUUAUAACUGACGCUGAGGGACGAAAGCGUGGGGAGCGAACAGGAUUAGAUACCCUGGUAGUCCACGCCGUAAACGAUGCUAACUCGUUUUUGGGCUUUAGGGUUCAGAGACUAAGCGAAAGUGAUAAGUUAGCCACCUGGGGAGUACGACCGCAAGGUUGAAACUCAAAGGAAUUGACGGGGGCCCGCACAAGCGGUGGAUCAUGUGGUUUAAUUCGAUGAUACGCGAGGAACCUUACCAAGGCUUAAAUGGGAAUUGACAGCUGUAGAAAUACGGUUUUCUUCGGACAAUUUUCAAGGUGCUGCAUGGUUGUCGUCAGCUCGUGCCGUGAGGUGUUAGGUUAAGUCCUGCAACGAGCGCAACCCCUGUCACUAGUUGCCAUCAUUAAGUUGGGGACUCUAGUGAGACUGCCUACGCAAGUAGCGAGGAAGGUGGGGAUGACGUCAAAUCAUCACGGCCCUUACGCCUUGGGCCACACACGUGAUACAAUGGCCGGUACAGAGGGCAGCUACACUGCGAAGUGAUGCAAAUCUCGAAAGCCGGUCUCAGUUCGGAUUGGAGUCUGCAACUCGACUCUAUGAAGCUGGAAUCGCUAGUA
rnacentral:rRNA from 1 species